rnacentral:rRNA from 1 species
GCUCCUGGAUUCAGCGGCGGACGGGUGAGUAAUGCCUAGGAAUCUGCCUGGUAGUGGGGGACAACGUUUCGAAAGGAACGCUAAUACCGCAUACGUCCUACGGGAGAAAGCAGGGGACCUUCGGGCCUUGCGCUAUCAGAUGAGCCUAGGUCGGAUUAGCUAGUUGGUGAGGUAAUGGCUCACCAAGGCGACGAUCCGUAACUGGUCUGAGAGGAUGAUCAGUCACACUGGAACUGAGACACGGUCCAGACUCCUACGGGAGGCAGCAGUGGGGAAUAUUGGACAAUGGGCGAAAGCCUGAUCCAGCCAUGCCGCGUGUGUGAAGAAGGUCUUCGGAUUGUAAAGCACUUUAAGUUGGGAGGAAGGGUUGUAGAUUAAUACUCUGCAAUUUUGACGUUACCGACAGAAUAAGCACCGGCUAACUCUGUGCCAGCAGCCGCGGUAAUACAGAGGGUGCAAGCGUUAAUCGGAAUUACUGGGCGUAAAGCGCGCGUAGGUGGUUUGUUAAGUUGGAUGUGAAAUCCCCGGGCUCAACCUGGGAACUGCAUCCAAAACUGGCAAGCUAGAGUAUGGUAGAGGGUGGGUGGAAUUUCCUGUGUAGCGGUGAAAUGCGUAGAUAUAGGAAGGAACACCAGUGGCGAAGGCGACCACCUGGACUGAUACUGACACUGAGGUGCGAAAGCGUGGGGAGCAAACAGGA